GUACAUCUUGUUAAUCGAAAAAUGGGAAGGAGAUUUUGUUACUUCGUCCGCACUUUGCGUCGAAUUGUUGUCUGCCGAACUUCUUUCCUUUACCAUUGUUAUUGUUGUAUUCCCUUCUCUCUAUUUCUCUUAUUUUCUUCUUUUUCUCCUUUUCCUUUUUUUUUUUGACGUCGUCCGUAGGUUACCGGUAGUUGUCACGUCGGCUCGCCUUUCAGUUAUCCUUCUCCCUCAACCUUAAUGGCUCUAUAAUGUAUAUUUGAUGAAUAAUAUGAAAAGAGAAUUUUUUGCUACCUCUUUUACUCAUGUGUUAAAUUAUCGCUUGCCGAGCUUCUUUUCGGCCUUUGCGUUGUUCGGAGGUACCCGAUUGCCAUCGUAUCGAUCUGUCCUUUUCGUCCAUGGCCGUAGAUUUGUCUGGGGCCGCUCGGGUUUGAUGCCCCCCAUCAGGGCUCGGACUCGGAGGUCCGAGCUUCCGUCACCC
rnacentral:lncRNA from 1 species